rnacentral:misc_RNA from 1 species
AAAGUUGAAUACCAGGUAAAUUUUGGGCAUAACUAGACAAAUCAACAGUAUCUGAUAAUUUAACUUUCCGUGCAUGUACUUUCAAAAUUUCCAAUCUUCCUUUUGCAUUGGGAGGCCGAAUUCUUAUCUUGCGAUCAAAUCUACCAGGACGAAGAAGGGCGGGAUCUAAUAAAUCCCUUCGAUUUGUAGCCCCUAGGAAUAUAACACCUUUCCCAGUAUCAAAUCCAUCUAGCUCGAUCAACAACUGGUUUAAAGUAGUUUCCCUUUCUUGAGUUGCCGCGUUAUAGAGGUGAUCAGUUGAUUCACUAAAUAUUCCUUGACGUCUGGUUGCGAGUGCAUCAAUUUCGUCAAUGAAGAUAACUGAUGGUUUAUUCACCUUGGCUCUCUUGAACAAAUCUCUAAUACGAGCAGAACCAACACCGACUAGAACUUCCACAAAUUCAGAACCCGCCAUUUGGUAAAAAGGAACACCAGCUUCACCUGCUAUUGCCUUGGCAACCAGGGUCUUUCCACAUCCAGGAGGUCCCUCCAGAAGAACUCCAUGUGGGGGCUUGAUCCCCAAUUUAUCAAAUAGUUCAGGAUUCUUCAGGUAUCUUACCAACUCUUGAAGUUCUUCCACUGCUUCCUCAAUCCCAGCUACAUCAUUAAAUGUGACUCCAGUUGAACCAUCAACACGUGCUUGUGGCUUUGACUGAGAGAAUUCUAUGCCUUGCCAUAUAUCCCACUUUCUAAAGUUCUUAGGUCUUCGCGAAAGAGUAAAUCGGACAAGAAGAACCAUAGUCACAAAAACAAGCAUGAUUGGUUUCAGCAUCUCAAUACUGGCAGAGACACCACCAAAUGUGUACAAUUCAUACAACUUGGAGAAAAUUCCUCCAUCAGUAAAGGCAUCACCAACCUUAUCCCACACUCUUUCCAAGAUACCAAAGAUGAGACCAAAGAACAGCUUAAGAAAUGGUUUGGCCACAGGCCACAUGACAUACACAGUGACGACAAAGACAAAGCUUGUCACAGCAAAUACAGCUGAAGCCAGGAAAGCACCCACAAUCACCGCAGCAGCAGUCAUUGCAGCGGUCAGCAUUCCAAGUUCUACCAUUACUCUGCUUGAUAUCUUCGAUGCAGCUGGAUUAGGAUACUCAGGUAAUUUUCCCACCCAAGACAUCAUUUGCUUCUCGACUUCAUAUCUUGGCCCAGUGUACUCCUCUAGUAAAGCCUGAGCUUGAUUUUGAUCCAGCUUCAUUGCCCAUUUAGUUCUCUGCAAGCUCUUCUCUCCGGGCAUCUCCUUCAACUCAACAAUAAAAUCUCUAGACCCCAAUCCCAAAGAAGCUCCAGUAUCCUCUUUAAAAGUCAACAACUUUAUCUUAUCAAAUUUCAUAUACUUCUGAAAAUCCUUCAA